rnacentral:rRNA from 1 species
CAUAGCAGCCAUAUCGCCCUGCAUCUCGCAACUGGCAGCCCACUGAAGCUCAGCAGGUGUGAGCCUGGUCAGUACCUGGAUGGGAGACCUCCUGGGUAAAACUAAGGUUGCUGCUGGAA